GUGGGGAAUAUUCCGCAAUGGACGAAAGUCUGACGGAGCAACGCCGCGUGAGUGAUGAAGGUUUUCGGACUGUAAAGCUCUGUUGUUUAGGACGAAAGUGCCUGUUGCAAAUAGUUACAGGUAUUGACGGUACUGAACGAGGAAGCCACGGCUAUCUACGUGCCAGCAGCCGCGGUAAUACGUAGGUGGCAAGCGUUGUCCGGCAUUAUUGGGCGUAAAGAGCAUGUAGGCGGGAAUCUAAGUCUGUUGUGAAAAUGCGGGGCUCAACCCCGUAAUGCGAUAGAAACUGGGUUUCUUGAGUGCAGGAGAGGAAAGGGGAAUUCCCAGUGUAGCGGUGAAAUGCGUAGAUAUUGGGAGGAACACCAGUGGCGAAGGCGCCUUUCUGGACUGUGUCUGACGCUGAGAUGCGAAAGCCAGGGUAGCGAACGGGAUUAGAAACCCCAGUAGUCC
rnacentral:rRNA from 1 species